ensembl:lncRNA
AUCCAUCUCUUUCACCCCCAAACCACUAACAGCUGCUCCUCCCACACAAACACCAGCCUCAUCCAGUGGGGGGGAUUCCAAAGUGUUCGGGUGUGGUCAGGUGUGGUCAGGUAUGGUCAGGUGUGGUCAGGUGUGGUCAGGUAUUCAGGUAUGGUCAGGUAUGGUCAGGUGUGGUCAGGUAUGAUCAGGUAUUCAGGUGUGGUGAGUUAUGGUCAGGUGUGGUCAGGUGUGGUCAGGUAUGGUCAGGUGUGGUCAGGUAUGAUCAGGUAUUCAGGUGUGGUGAGUUAUGGUCAGGUGUGGUCAGGUGUGGUCAGGUAAGGUCAGGUGUGGUCAGGUAUGAUCAGGUAUUCAGGUGUGGUGAGUUAUGGUCAGGUAUGGUCAGGUGUGGUCAGGUAUGAUCAGGUAUUCAGGUGUGGUGAGUUAUGGUCAGGUAUGGUCAGGUAUGGUCAGGUGUGGUCAGGUAUGAUCAGGUAUUCAGGUGUGGUGAGUUAUGGUCAGGUGUGGUCAGGUAAGGUCAGGUAUGGUCAGGUAUUCAGG